rnacentral:rRNA from 1 species
GACGAACGCUGGCGGCGUGCUUAACACAUGCAAGUCGAACGGAAAGGCCCUGCUUUUGUGGGGUGCUCGAGUGGCGAACGGGUGAGUAACACGUGAGUAACCUGCCCUUGACUUUGGGAUAACUUCAGGAAACUGGGGCUAAUACCGGAUAGGAGCUCCUGCUGCAUGGUGGGGGUUGGAAAGUUUCGGCGGUUGGGGAUGGACUCGCGGCUUAUCAGCUUGUUGGUGGGGUAGUGGCUUACCAAGGCUUUGACGGGUAGCCGGCCUGAGAGGGUGACCGGCCACAUUGGGACUGCGAUACGGCCCAGACUCCUACGGGAGGCAGCAGUGGGGAAUAUUGCACAGUGGGCCGAAGCCUGAUGCAGCAACGCCGCGUGCGGGAUGACGGCUUUCGGGUUGUAAACCGCUUUCGCCUGUGACGAAGCGUGAGUGACGGUAAUGGGUAAAGAAGCACCGGCUAACUACGUG